rnacentral:rRNA from 1 species
UGGGGAAUUUUGGACAAUGGGCGCAAGCCUGAUCCAGCAAUGCCGCGUGUGUGAUGAAGGCCUUCGGGUUGUAAAGCACUUUUGGUGGGAACGAAACGGUCCGGGCUAAUACCCUGGACUAAUGACGGUACCCGCAGAAUAAGCACCGGCUAACUACGUGCCAGCAGCCGCGGUAAUACGUAGGGUGCAAGCGUUAAUCGGAAUUACUGGGCGUAAAGCGUGCGCAGGCGGUUUUGUAAGACCGAUGUGAAAUCCCCGGGCUUAACCUGGGAACUGCAUUGGUGACUGCAAGGCUUGAGUGUGUCAGAGGGAGGUGGAAUUCCGCGUGUAGCAGUGAAAUGCGUAGAUAUGCGGAGGAACACCGAUGGCGAAGGCAGCCUCCUGGGAUAACACUGACGCUCAUGCACGAAAGCGUGGGGAGCAAACAGG